UACGGAAGGUCCUGGUGUUAUCCGGAUUUAUUGGGUUUAAAGGGAGCGUAGGCCGUCCUUCAAGCGUGUUGUGAAAUGUCGUGGCUCAACCACGGCCCAGCAGCGCGAACUGUAGGACUUGAGUGCGCGGAAAGCAGGCGGAAUUUGUGGUGUAGCGGUGAAAUGCUUAGAUAUCACGAAGAACCCCGAUUGCGAAGGCAGCCUGCUGUAGCGCGACUGACGCUGAAGCUCGAAAGUGCGGGUAUCGAACAGGAUUAGAUACCCUGGUAGUCCGCACGGUAAACGAUGGAUGCCCGCUGUGCGGCCUUCGGGUCGUGCGGCUAAGUGAAAACGUUAAGCAUCCCACCUGGGGAGUACGCCGGCAACGGUGAAACUCAAAGGAAUUGACGGGGGCCCGCACAAGCGGAGGAACAUGUGGUUUAAUUCGAUGAUACGCGAGGAACCUUACCCGGGCUUGAAUUGCAGAGGAAUGUGCCGGAGACGGUACAGCCCUUCGGGGUCUCUGUGAAGGUGCUGCAUGGUUGUCGUCAGCUCGUGCCGUGAGGUGUCGGCUUAAGUGCCAUAACGAGCGCAACCCCUGUUUUCAGUUGCCAUCAGUCAAAGCUGGGCACUCUGGAGAGACUGCCGCCGCAAGGUGUGAGGAAGGUGGGGAUGACGUCAAAUCAGCACGGCCCUUACGUCCGGGGCUACACACGUGUUACAAUGGCCGGUACAACGAGAGGGCUGCCCGCAAGGUCAGUCAAAUCCUGAAAACCGGUCUCAGUUCGGACUGGGGUCUGCAACCCGACCCCACGAAGCUGGAUUCGCUAGUAAUCGCGCAUCAGCCAUGGCGCGGUGAAUACGUUCCCGGGCCU
rnacentral:rRNA from 1 species